UUUUUUGCUAGAGCUCGGAUUGGGAAGAACAAUGGUAGUGGGGGCUAUGCGAAGUGGAGAAUUUUGAUUAGUAUUCUGAGAAGCCAUUGUUAAUUAGUUGCAGAGAGAAAUCUGGAGAAGAAGAGGAGUAAGGAAUAUUCGAAUUUCGAAUUAAGUUGGUAAAACUGUCAGAUUUGGGAGAAAGCAGCUUUUAUACUAGAGUUCUCUUCAACCUUUCACAAGGUUCAGGGGUGGCUCAUUUAAUGCCAACGGUGAUUGUGAAGUUAAAGAAGUAGCGUGCGAUUUUAGUCUUCAUUGUUAACCGGAGUGGGCUUCUCUUUUGGGCCUCGGUAAGUUGUAUCUUGGGCCUGUGUUGAUCUCAUUAUAAUUCCUUUUAUUCUGGACCGAUUCCACUUAUACUCUUUCAUUAAACCUCCUGUUUAAUAAAAGACUGGGGGGCAAUGUUGGGCCAUAAUACUUUAGACAUGUUGAGGUGGGUCUUGAAAGUAUUAGGCCGGUUCAUUGGGCCAGCCCAUUGGGUGGAUAUUAUCUUUAUUUUGG
rnacentral:lncRNA from 1 species